rnacentral:rRNA from 1 species
GAACAAGUACCGUGAGGGAAAGGUGAAAAGCACCCCGACGAGGGGAGUGAAAGAGACCUGAAACCGGACGCCUACAAGCAGUCGGAGCCUCUUAUGGGGUGACGGCGUACCUUUUGUAUAAUGGGUCAGCGAGUUUCUGUUUGCAGCGAGCUUAAGCCGUUAGGUGUAGGCGUAGCGAAAGCGAGUCUGAAUAGGGCGCAUAGUUGCUGGCAGAAGACCCGAAACCGAGUGAUCUAGCCAUGGCCAGGCUGAAGGUGCGGUAACACGCACUGGAGGGCCGAACCCACGCCUGUUGAAAAAGUCGGGGAUGAGCUGUGGCUAGGGGUGAAAGGCCAAUCAAACUCGGAGAUAGCUGGUUCUCCGCGAAAUCUAUUGAGGUAGAUCGUCAGGUGUUGACCCCGGGGGGUAGAGCACUGGAUGGGCUAGGGGGGCCCAAAGCCUUACCAAACCUAACCAAACUCCGAAUACCCGGAAGUUUAGCCUGGCAGACAGACAGUGGGUGCUAAGGUCCAUUGUCGAGAGGGAAACAGCCCAGACCACCAGCUAAGGCCCCCAAAUCGUGGCUAAGUGGGAAAGGAUGUGGGGAUUCCAUAACAACCAGGAGGUUGGCUUAGAAGCAGCCAUCCUUUAAAGAAAGCGUAAUAGCUCACUGGUCUAAUAGAAACCCUGCGCCGAAAAUGUAACGGGGCUCAAGCCACGUGCCGAAGCUGUGGGUGCAUACUUUGUAUGCGCGGUAGCGGAGCGUUCCGUAAGUCUGUGAAGGAGACGGGGUGACUCUCUCUGGAGAUAUCGGAAGUGCGAAUGCUGACAUGAGUAGCGACAAACAGUGCGAGAAACACUGUCGCCGAAAGUCCAAGGGUUCCUGCGCAAGGUUAAUCCACGCAGGGUUAGUCGGCCCCUAAGGCGAGGGCGA